AGGGAAUCUUCGGCAAUGGACGGAAGUCUGACCGGGCAACGCCGCGUGAGUGAAGAAGGUUUUCGGAUCGUAAAGCUCUGUUGUAAGAGAAGAACGAGUGUGAGAGUGGAAAGUUCACACUGUGACGGUAUCUUACCAGAAAGGGACGGCUAACUACGUGCCAGCAGCCGCGGUAAUACGUAGGUCCCGAGCGUUGUCCGGAUUUAUUGGGCGUAAAGCGAGCGCAGGCGGUUAGAUAAGUCUGAAGUUAAAGGCUGUGGCUUAACCAUAGUACGCUUUGGAAACUGUUUAACUUGAGUGCAAGAGGGGAGAGUGGAAUUCCAUGUGUAGCGGUGAAAUGCGUAGAUAUAUGGAGGAACACCGGUGGCGAAAGCGGCUCUCUGGCUUGUAACUGACGCUGAGGCUCGAAAGCGUGGGGAGCAAACAGGAUUAGAUACCCUGGUAGUCCACGCCGUAAACGAUGAGUGCUAGGUGUUAGACCCUUUCCGGGGUUUAGUGCCGCAGCUAACGCAUUAAGCACUCCGCCUGGGGAGUACGACCGCAAGGUUG
rnacentral:rRNA from 1 species